UACAGAGGGGGCAAGCGUUGUUCGGAAUUACUGGGCGUAAAGGGCGCGUAGGCGGCCUGCUAAGUCGAACGUGAAAUCCCUGGGCUCAACCCAGGAACUGCGUCCGAUACUGGUUGGCUUGAAUCCGGGAGAGGGAUGUGGAAUUCCAGGUGUAGCGGUGAAAUGCGUAGAUAUCGGGAGGAACAUCAGUGGCGAAGGCGGCCUUCUGGUCCAGUUACUGACACUCAAGUGCGAAAGCGUGGGGAGCAAACAGGG
rnacentral:rRNA from 1 species